rnacentral:rRNA from 1 species
UUAUACGGCGAGUGAAGCGGUAAGAGCUCAAAUUUGAAAUCUGGUACCUUCGGUGCCCGAGUUGUAGUUUGAAGAUGGCUGUCUUGGAAUUGGCCCUUGUCUAUGUUCCUUGGAACAGGACGUCACAGAGGGUGAGAAUCCCGUGCGAUGAGGUGACCAAUUCUAUGUAAGACGCUUUCGAAGAGUCGAGUUGUUUGGGAAUGCAGCUCUAAGUGGGUGGUAAAUUCCAUCUAAAGCUAAAUAUUGGCGAGAGACCGAUAGCGAACAAGUACAGUGAUGGAAAGAUGAAAAGAACUUUGAAAAGAGAGUGAAAAAGUACGUGAAAUUGUUGAAAGGGAAGGGCUUGAGAUUAGACUUGGUUUAAUGUGAACGCUUCUCCUUGUGGGAGGCGCCCUCACAUUCUACUGGGCCAGCAUCGGUUUUGGUGGUAGGAUAAAAGCAGUUGAACGUAGCCCCUCGGGGUGUUAUAGCUUCUGUUAAUACUGCCUACCGAGACCGAGGAGCUGCGUCUUUGACUAGAUGCUGGCGUAAUGUCUACCGUUG